GACGAACGCUGGCGGCGUGCCUAACACAUGCAAGUCGAGCGAAGUGAGUACUACGGUACGAACUUAGCGGCGGACGGGUGAGUAACGCGUGGACAAUCUACCCUGUAGACUGGGAUAACACCUCGAAAGGGGUGCUAAUACCGGAUAAUGUCGAGAAGCGGCACCGCUUUUCGAAGAAAGGAGAGAAUCCGCUAUAGGAGGAGUCCGCGUCCCAUUAGCUAGUUGGUGAGGGUAACGGCCCACCAAGGCGACGAUGGGUAGCCGGCCUGAGAGGGUGAACGGCCACACUGGAACUGAGACACGGUCCAGACUCCUACGGGAGGCAGCAGUGGGGAAUAUUGUGCAAUGGGGGAAACCCUGACACAGCAACGCCGCGUGAGCGAAGAAGGCCUUCGGGUUGUAAAGCUCAAUAGUAUGGGAAGAUAAUGACGGUACCAGGAGAAUAAGCCCCGGCUAACUUCGUGCCAGCCGCCGCCGUAAGAC
rnacentral:rRNA from 1 species